UAUUACUUCCUGAUUGAGCACACAGCGUUAACAUUUAUAUCACAAAAGGCGUGGUACGAUGGGGCAGUCACAUACACAGACAAAUCUUACGGAAAUAAUUGAUCUUGAAGUGUUGCAAAAGGAUAUUGUUUUAGUAGAUAUUUGGCAAUUACUGCUAGUGAUAUGUGGAUUAAUUGUGUUUCAAUAAUAUCAAAAUUGAUGUCAGAACUUUAAGUUGCUUUGUGUCAUUUUAACUUAUAUGAGUUUCACUCAAAUUGAGCUAAACUUUGUAAAAUAAAAAAGUCAUGGAAUAAAUGUACGUAUUUACAUGUUACAGUUCAUUUCCGUGUUUCAACUUUUGAAAAAUAAGCAUUAAAUCUGAACCUUUUUCAAUUGACGCACAUCGUAAUAACAUGACAGAUAAAAUAGAACGUCGUGUAAGUUAGUAACUACGCCAUAAUCAAACAAGAUGAACGGUGAAAGGAUGAAAAUUAUGUCAAUGUAAACACAAGAUUGAAAUAUAUUAAAAGCGCAUAUAAACUGUUUUCACAGGCUGAUGAAGAAAGCAAAAAGUGAAGAUACCAGAUAAACAUUAUUACCGCUGCAAAGAUCCCUCACAGCGGAUAUUAAGUCAUAUAGAGUUCAUCACAUACUUUAACCGUCAAUCGGAUUUCUUUUAAUUAAAAGUUUUACACCACACAGCAUCUGCUUUCUAUAACGGAUUCGAAGAUUUAAGACAACAAGAAAUACACCAUUUAAAGUACAGGGUACGGAAUGGAAGCCGACAUUGCUGCUGUAGAGAUUCGCAUCAACGAUGCAAGUUAUCCAAUUAACGACACAAACGAUAACAAAGUUCCAGAUAACUCUGACGACAUAGAAUACCGGACACAGAUCACGCGCCUUCGCAGACGACUGAAGUGGUACUUCUACGAGGCAUUCAAGUUCAAGACCGGCACGUGUUACUUUCACUUGCUUCCUCUGUUCUUCUUCCUUAUGCACUUGGUGAAGGUCGGGCUGAUAACAUCGCAGAUGUUCAAUUUCGGGAACGACCGUGCCAACUUUUCUAACGUGGUCAGUCGGGGACAUCUGGCUCUGCGGCACCUAUUUCUCAAAGGAUGGGACGCAACUUGGGAGACCCUUCCCUACCCUCCGGCCCACGGGGACUUUGCUGUGUACACAAUCGAUGACUUGGUCGCGGGAAUCAACUUUGCUGUGCAAAGGUAUUACAACGUCGAGAAAGAUUCCAUUGGGUUUUACGAGCGACUGCCAACGGACAAACUGGAAAUUAAAAUAAUGUACUUUGAGUUCCCAGGAUUUUCGGAAACUGAGGCCAGCUCUGGAAUCGCCAUAAGAGAGCGAGUGAUAGCUGUAAAUGCAAGUUUGAGUGAGACAUUGGAUCAACAGACAGGCGACAAAACAUACACCUGCGACAUCUUGAAGGGGUUCAAUCAAUCAAAUAUAACAAAACCAAUAAAGAAAUUGCUUGCAACUUAUAUUAACUUCCAAAUACACUCGGUUCGCGUUCUGGAAGCUACCAGUAAAGCUCAAUGCCUCAGAAUUAAGGGAAAGGUUAUGUUCACUGAUCUUGACAACAAUGGACAAGUGAACGUGGAGCUGGAAACUCUGACGACCAGAAUUCGGUGUUCAGAAAUGAACUACUCAUUACCAGAGCCAGUCCUUGAGAACACUUCUCAGUCGACCGCCGCCGCUGUCGUAGCGUUAAGCGUCCUGUCCCUCUUGGCCGCUUGCUAUAACAUCAGCUGGGGAGUUGUGGCUUUCUAUCAAACAAAGUCCUUCAUGGUUCGCUAUUACAAGAAGCUGUUCAUGCCAAUCAACAAGGACGAGACUGACUUGCCUCGCUCUGAGUAUUUACGUUUUCUAAAGAUCUGGGAGAUAUUAAUUUUGGGGGCCGAUGUCAUGAAUAUAAUCGGUUCCGCCGCGUUAUUCGAAAUUGAGAACAAAAACUUUGAGCUAUCGACUCUGGACUCUUAUGCUGUCGUGCUGGGAAUCGGCUGCCUUCUUACCUGGUUCACACUCCUCCGGUUCUUCAAAUUCCAUAACAAGUUCCACCUUUUGUUCAACACGAUCUACAAAGCUUUCGGUAAUGUGGUUGCCUACAUGAUGUGCGUCGCGAUCCUCUUUGUCGGCUUCUGGAUCUGUGGUUACGUCGUCAUUGGCCCGUAUCAUGUAAAGUUCAGUUCGCCUACGACUGCAAUGGGUACUUUGUUUUCCGCCAUUUAUGGUGACGAAGUAUUCGCUACCAUGGCCAUGUUGGAUGCUAGCAAGACCAGCAAAUACGUGUUCUGGUUCACCCGCGUAUACAUCGGCCUCUUCGUCUCAAUAUUUACCGUUGUCGUGAUCAAUCUCCUUGUUGCGAUCUUUCUAAGUGCCUAUGAGUCCAUCCGGGAAUACUACAAACAAUCCCCGAAAGACCGCGACCUGGGGCCAGUGGAAAAGACGCUCCGGAAGUUCCUCACUACGGAAGACCAGGAGCGCAGUAGCCUCCGGGAUUCCAUAUAUGAUCUCAUGAAAGACAGCGACAAUCGGUCCACAGAGGAGAAGGCGUUCCGGACAGAGCUCCUGAAGAUUGUACGGGUGGACCGGACGCCCGACCGAGUGCGCAUCCUGAUGCCAAGGACGCUGAAAGCGUUUAUGGAGAUGGAAGAAGAUGGAAAGGGUGUGGUGAAUUGUCGGUGCUUAAAGUGCGAGAUCGCCUUCAUAUGGUGGAGAAACAACUAAAUGGAAGUUGUGCUUUAAAGGCCAAGUUGAAAGAAAACCUGGCGUUUCCAUUUGGAUUUCUAUGCUGUUGAUUUGUACACUAAAAAUUAUCUUUAAUAUAUAAUAUUACCUUUAAAAGCAGUUCGGUUAGCGCAAUGGAUAGUGUACACACUUUUCAACUUGGCUACCUUGGUUCAAUUGACUCAUAGUGAUAAUACAGAUGUGUUCAUGAAUGAUAAUUGAAAUUGAUAAUUUAUAAUAAAUCGUUACCAACGCGAAAUGACUUAAAUUGAUUCUCCUGUUAAAUCGUUAAAUUUUGUUUCAAUACACGAAUCGCGUAUAUGAAUUAUAAAUUUGAAUUAUAAAUUUAUAUCUGACGUAUAAACGUCCACUUAGCCGAGUUCUUUCUGCAGUAAACUUAUAUUCCACUGGAUACUGGUUUAAAUACGGCUUAAUUUGUUUAAAUGUUAUUCGUGGUACGAAUCCUUUUUAAUUGUUAAAUCUGUUAUCUAACCAACUAAAUCGCCUUUAAGAAAUAUUUAUAGGUAUUUCCAAUUGUCUAAAAAGUAAUAUAUUUUUAGAGUAAAUUGAAUACAUAAGUUCUAUUCAUAUCUAGCAAAAAAAGUACACUAACACUAUGAAUAUGAAACUAGCCAAUAAACUGUUACAAGUUAAAGAGUUUAUUUUCGACUGUAACUUUCAGGUGUCAGCGGUACACACCUAUAAUGGCUUCUAAAUGACAGUUUAUAAACUACUAGAUUACUGCAAAAAUGGUGUGAUUUUCAGAGAUAUAAAUUACUUUGCUGACCUUAUAGAGUUAAUCCUUUGUGUUGGAUGUUACCUUCGGGCUAUAGUUGUUAUUCGGAACUCUCCAGUCUGGGUUUUUCCGAUAUUUGAGCACGCGCGGUAGGUACAAACAAAAGCUUACUAGCAUAUUUUAAAAGAGAGUGAAUCAAUAAUAUCUCUUAUCGCUGAAUAGUAAACACCACUUUUUUUGCGCAAACGUUCGUUAGAGUUGAUAAAAAUGCCAUGAUCUAAUCAGUUUUCUUUAGAUGAACUAAUCUCGAUCGUGUUUAAUUGGUAAGAAUACUAUCUAACACGAUAUAAUGCUGCAUGUACAUGUAAACAGCUUCGGUUACGUAACUAUGUCAUUGCAUAUACUGUGCGUAGACAUGGGCAUACCGUUUUAAUGGAAGUUUGUCAACGAAACUACCAAGACAUUGACUCCAUCGUAAACAUAUACAUAUUACACUAAAUCUAAUCAGAUAUAUUUAACAUCAUACAUCAAGUACCAAACAAAAAAAACCUUACUAUCCUCAGUCCAUUCGUAGUACUAGAACUACCGUAAUUACUCUAUGUUUACGGACACUUAAAAAUAAUUAUUUUGUUGGUGUCCGAAAACUUAGAUACAAAAAAUUUUAACAAAAUAAAGGUGUCCGAAAACUUAGAGUCGAAAAUGGAAGUGUCCGAAAAAAGCAUCAAUUGUAUCAACGACUACCGGUAAUAGCACGCGCUUGUAAAAUACCAUGCCGUAUACAGUACAGUUAUACAUGUUUGCACUGCAUUUUAAAUAAUUGUAAAUGCUUAAUUUAUUUGACAGAAAGUUACUUAAAGGUUGUACUUUGACCAACGAGUUCAAAAAUGAGCAUGUGAUGUACCGAUACAUGAAAGCAGACUAUGAAUUCUUUGUUUGUUCAUUUCCGAAAGUUGUUGUGUAAUACCUUCCAUUGUUCGUAAAACUUGUAAUAGGGUGCAUCACAAUUUGAAACAUUUAGUAUUUGUCACAGUUAUUUUACUGAGAAGGGGUAGUACCAUUGCGGUAGAUAAUUGAACUGUUAAUUGGCACUACCCCUGGUAAUUGUCAUAACGCUUAUGCUAUCGGGCGAAACCAUUGUUUAAUACCGGUUUACAAGGGUAUUUACCCAAUAACGCAAAUGCAAUGUUCCAUUGCCCUCAUGCAUGCAGCCUCAAUGUUUUAUGAUGUUAAUCUGGUUGUAAAACCCCAUGAUCGAAGUGUUAUUAGAUAUCGAAAACAGGUUUGACAUUUGGUAAAAUAGCGCUGUAAAAUAUAUUGUCCUAAAACUUAGAGACAUAAAUAACGGACAAAAACUCGUGUGUCCGAAAAAAAGAAGUCACGAAAAAUAAUUAUUUUUGCUAAAAAAGGGGGUGUCCGAAAACUUAGAGUGUUCGAAAACAUAGAGUAAUUACGGUAAUAUAUCGUUCCAUAUGUGUUGGAUAUUUAUAUGUCUAUUGAUAUAGCUCUAUUGUGAUGCUUUUCUUUAAUAUAAUCUGAAAAGUAACGAAAAUUAUUCGCUAAAGACUAAGACCGUUAUAUUAGAAGGCACAUCACUAACGAGCUUUACCAAACAUUAGUUUUAUUAGCUAUAUCUAUAAAGCAUGCCGAAAAUGUCAUUAAUGACAAUGUUUGUACCUUCCGCGCGCGCUCGGAAAUCGGAAAAACCCACAGCGCGCGAGUUCCGAAUUAAAUCUAUUGUUCACAUCGUUAUGUUGUGUAGGUAAUUUGACAGUUGUAUCGCUUUAAAUAUGAAUUGUAUAUAUGAGCCUCGCUCUGUGAAAAGGGGGUUUUAUGCAUGUGCGUAAAGUGUCGUCCCAGAUUAGCCUGUGGAAUCCGCACAGGCUAAUCAGGGAGUGCACUUUACGUCUAAACUUAAUUUUAUAUAAGAAGAGACUUUCUAUAAAUGGAAAAUAUCAUAAAAGCUUAAAGUAUUUUCCCUGAUUAGCCUGUGCGGACUGCAUAGGCUAAUCUGGAACGACUUGUUACGCUCAUGCAUUAAACACCCUGCUCAUAUACAAGGUAUUUUUUUUAUCUAGACCUCUGUUUUUGAACCUUAGAUACUCUGAACAUCUUGUAAUUUUAAAUAUAAUGUUUUAAAGCCAUGAAACUCCGUAAAAAAAAUUAAACUUAAAAUACAAUGUUUUCCACAUUAACAAGAUUUAUACAAAGUACGGUUUACUCAUCGAGUUAUUCGAAUUAAAUUGUUAUGGCAUUUUUAUAAGUCAAAAUUGUCCGUAGCUUGUAGCGGAAAUUGUCGUCCCAGAUCAGUUUGUGCGGACGAGACUUUACGCUUAUGCAGGACGCCCGGUCUUGCCCGUAGCAACUCAUUUUCGUUUCUUUAACCUACGACAUGCAUACGGAUAUUUAGAAGAAUUUGUUUGACAAUAUUAACAUUAUACUAUUGAACUGUCAUAAAAGCAGAAAUAUAUUCGCUUGAAUUGUGUUCUAUAUUCGGUUUUGUUUGUGCACGUGAUCAUGAUAAUGUAGCAAAACAUGUAUUUGCUUGUAGCAGUAUUGAAACUCCUUUAAGUAUCGUAACAAUUUUUUAUAUUGCUAAUGCAUAUAGAUCAAUAUUAUGUCAAUAUUCCCUAGCUAUAAGCGGUAUUUUAACGUCGUUAAGUUCUAACAAAUGAAUAUCAUUCCGCUGUUUGCUCCGCCUUCUUCAUGUUACGUGUUUAUUAAUAUUUAUUUGUUUUACUUUUAUAUCGUUAGCAUGUUAACGCGAUUAAAAGGAAACUUGUUUACAUAUUCAUUUCAUAUUAUAAUAAUUACAAGUAUACAUAAUAUAUACCAACAAUAGUACAAACCAUAUAAUACUAAGUUAACAAUAUAUAUUUUGUUCAGUUAUUAUGGCAAUAAAAGUCUAGAUGUC